rnacentral:lncRNA from 1 species
AGAGAGUUCACAGCAGGUUUUGCACUCAUCUCUAUGCUCCUCAGAACAUCGGGUGGGAUAAUUGCCCUUUGAGUUAUAUAUACCACUCAGCUUAGCCCUAGGAAAGAAGCUUGGGUCUCUGUCUACUUCUGACUAAAGGCUUUGCUGAAGUUCCUCAGUAUCCCAAAGCCUAACAGUUCUCUGGAGAAGGCUGCCAGGAGGAUUACUGCUGUACACCUUGAUAAUGGGAAAUGAAAUCAGCCACGAGAGGUAUUGCAGAAGGUCUGGGAAGCCUGAAAGGCAAGAAGCUGAGCAAGAAAAGGCAGAAGCUGAUCUUUCUACUGCUCAGAAGCCUCUACCGGGGAGCAGUGAGAAUCCUCUUCCAGAGGAGAAAUCACAGGAUGCUGCUGUGGGGAUGCAGAACGAAGAUCCAGAAAGUGAAACAGCUUUAUCUUCCCUGCAACACAUGCAGAAGUCUGUGCCACAGAUAGCAGUGCAAAGCACAGAGCUGCAAGACCGUGGUGAGACUCAGCCCUUUGUGCAAGAGCCAGAAGAGACUGAAACUGAGCCUGCUGUGGUGAGUCCAGACAUGCUAAUGUGUGUUCCAACUCAGGAGAGGGCUGCAACAGCUCAGCCAGCUGUAGGAGAGACAAAAACUGACCUGGCUCUGCAGGCUGCUGGGGAGGUGGGAGAUAGAGAGGCAGAAGAUGUGGUGAUCAACCAGGCAGCAGUGGAAAAACACUCAGUGGUGCACAAGAGACCAAGUGGAAAGCUGUGCAAGCCAAGUCCUCUCUGCAGGUGGCUGAAGAAACUCCAGUCCUCUGCUGAGAAGAAGUAAGGUCAGGACUGAAGCAAUUGCUAGUCAAGUGUGAGGCUUCCUAUGAACUAUCAAAGGACUGUUAAGUGUUUCCUGGGACUGGAGAGAAAAAAAAAAGACUAAGAAUUAAAGUAGAAAGAAAAUAUUUUGUCAUCUUCAAGCUGUGUGUCUGCUGUGUGGUUCUGGCUGUUGUAAAGGCCUGGGUGCAGCACAGAGGGUAUCCCAGCUGGAUGUGAGAGAAAGGGGAACCUGAAUGGCUCUGAUCCCCCUCUGAUCUGCAACUUGUGAGCUUGGCUGUUCCUGUUGCUCACUGGGCUCUGUCUUUAAUAGCCUUCUUUCUGAACCUAUGUAGAAGUGCAGUGUACAAAUCUCUAUCUUUGUGGUGCUUCCCACCAUUUGACUUCCUUCCACUUGCUUUUAAUAACUUGUUCUGUCUGAUAGACCAAGCUUAGUGCAUUAGUAUUAUCAAGCUAAAUAAAUACCUUUAUAAAAACACUAAAUGUUUACAAAUGUGUAAUGUUAAUAGUGGGUGUUGUGUGGGAGGGUUGGUAAACAAGGGGCUCUUGUUUUGCUACUAGAAUUGAUUGCUUUGUGUGUAUUUUUAAUGUUUGCAAGUCAAUAAAAGCUAGUUUUAUUGCCUCAAAUGAAGCAUUGACUACAAGUGAAAGGGCUUUAAGGGAGGGAGGAGAAAUGGGAUGCUAUAGCCUAUCCUCAGCUGCAGAUGAUGAUACAACAAGGAGGGCUCCCUGCUGAGCAGGAGAAGCAUGGAAGCCAACAGCUUAUACUUUGGUUACCAUGGGGCUGCCUCCAGGAAGAGGUAAGGAUGUAUAGUCUGCCCAAUGGCCUUCAGCUUGAUUACUGUGCCAUCUGUGUGGUUCAUGUCACAGAACUGACCUAUGUGUGUCUGCACUACUGCAGAGCAAGGUCACCUACAAACACUAGGCCUUGCUCUGUUAAAGAAACCAGCUGGUAAAAAUUCUCCUGGGAGAUUCAGAGAAAACAACCACUGAGAAGCUGACUUGUAGGCAAAGACAGCGAGCGGGCUGCAGGGGCUGUGCUAGAAGCAUCCCAACCUGCCUUCAAAAAGCAGGGAGGGCCAAUGUAUCCUCCAGGAAAGCUAAUGAGCAAACAGCCUGCACUCCUGAAACUUACCGCCAGCUUCCCAUGCCUGAGGUAGCUAUGCUGCUGUUCCCUGAGUGUAACCCUCCAAUUGCUGUUCAUGAAUAAAACACUGC